rnacentral:rRNA from 1 species
UACGGAGGGGGCUAGCGUUGUUCGGAAUUACUGGGCGCAAAGCGUGCGCAGGCGGUUCGUUGUGUCCGAUGUGAAAGCCCCGGGCUUAACCUGGGAAUGGCAUUGGAAACUGGCGAGCUUGAGUGCGGCAGAGGGGGGUGGAAUUCCGCGUGUAGCAGUGAAAUGCGUAGAGAUGCGGAGGAACACCGAUGGCGAAGGCAGCCCCCUGGGUCGACACUGACGCUCAGGCACGAAAGCGUGGGGAGCAAACAGG